UUUUCUGUGACAAAAUACCCGACAAGA
rnacentral:piRNA from 1 species